UGGAAAUGAAGAGUCUGAUGGAGCUGAGUAUGCCUCGUGAGAUACUUUAUAAGAAACUCAAAGCUAAUAGAAGAUGCUUACAACCUGUCUGGAAACAAAAGAGAACUGAUAAAGGCUCUUCUACUGUAUGAUUUCAUUUGAAGUAUAAAGUUGUGUCAUUAAAUGAGACUGGAACCUUGUCAUCCUCACAUUGUAGUACCUGCAAUAUGACACAAGCUACUGGAGGACAAGCUCCACCAAAAUAAGGGAGGGUGGCAAGAAAGAGGACAGC